AAGGUGGAAAACUAGUCAUUCGCUCCGAACGCGGAGUACAAUAUGUAAGAAAAAUUCAAGAUGUUAAGUUAGUGCCAUACGAGAUGAACAAACCGAAAACAAAUGAAGCAGAAUUGACGGGUUGUUCACUAGGGAUAAGUUUCGAUGCAGCAAUGGGACAAGAUUUGAUUAAUCAAGAUAUCAAACAGGCCAGUAACGAAUUUGACAAUUUUCCAUCAAUUGAAGAGUUUAGUGUUGCGAAUCAACGACCGUGGAAGGCUGCUGAAGAAGUAAAUGACCAAUCAAUGGAAUCUGAUGAAGAACGCCACCAAGAAAGAAUGGAACGACCGAAGAGAAAUAUUCGCAAGCCAACCAAAUAUAAAGAUAUGUUUUUGUAUAGAGUUUUUGAAUAGAAUUGUAACAGUUUUUGAAUAUAGUUUUGUAUAAAGUUUUUUUUAUAGAGUUUCAGAAGAGUUUUUAAACAGAGAGUAGAUAAUUAGGCGAAUGUAGGGAAUAUAAUUAAUGGCUAUUGAACAAUUUAUAAUUGAUCACAGCAAUCGCGGAAAAGAAAGAUGAUCUUAGGAGUCGAGUAUAGGAAACGAAAUUUAAUAAAUCA